rnacentral:lncRNA from 1 species
GUCCGCUGCAGGAGCCGUGAUAUAUGUCUCGCUCCCUUUCGCUUACAGAAAGGAUUUCUUCCGACAGACGUGACCCCAGAAGGCUGCCGAGGGAGACUUUAGGACAAGAGGCGUUGUUUUUUUAGGGAAGGAAGAGGAGCCUGUGCAGAGUUGAACUGGGGUGGAGAGGUGCCUUGUAAAGUAUGGUUUCCAGAGAUGGUGAGACCUCGUAGCUAAGCGUUGUUUCCUCUGCACGUAACUGUGAGUUGUGAACUUGUGGCUCCUGGGGGAGCGGGACAGGGCCUGGCAGUGCGGGGGAGGGGGCAAGGAAUUCAGGAAGUUGGCGAGAAUUCUUCGUUUUUCAUUCUUCGUUGUAAAUUGCUUCUAAACACUUCUGAAUUUUAAAUUGCUACCGAGAAGGUCCAGAAACCGUUCUCAUCCAAUUUAGUCACUUUUAUUACGUUCCACUUUGCCUCCCCCAAUCACUGCGGCGGCUCCCAGUUUCAGCGUGGCCGCAUUUGGAAAAGGCUGAAGGUAGAAAACUCUGGAAUGGAGAGGCUGGCGACUGGAGCAGGAUCCAGGGGCUUUAAAUUUUAACCUGAAUGCGAUCGAAUGCGCGACUCCCAGAAGAGAUAGCCAGGCGUCCGCCCGGCCGCUCAACCCCCGCCAGGACUCGGAAUGCCUUGCUUUUGGUUCUUUUCGUGAGUUCCGACCAAAUGUUUAAGUGGACUGGGUUUUGCAGAAGCUCAUUUGUAAGCACUGACGGAAAUGGGUUGUGGGCAUUUGAUUUCCUUUGAUUCCAACGUUUUGAAAUAAUGUUUCUCGGAUUUGCUAUUCGAAGCAAUUUUCUAAAAACUCAUAUCUUAUUUGCUAAAAAUAAACUCUUUGGCUCA